AUUGAACGCUGGCGGCAGGCCUAACACAUGCAAGUCGAGCGGAUGAAGGGAGCUUGCUCCUGGAUUCAGCGGCGGACGGGUGAGUAAUGCCUAGGAAUCUGCCUGGUAGUGGGGGAUAACGUCCGGAAACGGGCGCUAAUACCGCAUACGUCCUGAGUGAGAAAGUGGGGGAUCUUCGGACCUCACGCUAUCAGAUGAGCCUAGGUCGGAUUAGCUAGUUGGUGGGGUAAAGGCCUACCAAGGCGACGAUCCGUAACUGGUCUGAGAGGAUGAUCAGUCACACUGGAACUGAGACACGGUCCAGACUCCUACGGGAGGCAGCAGUGGGGAAUAUUGGACAAUGGGCGAAAGCCUGAUCCAGCCAUGCCGCGUGUGUGAAGAAGGUCUUCGGAUUGUAAAGCACUUUAAGUUGGGAAGAAGAGCAGUAAGUUAAUACCUUGCUGUUUUGACGGUACCAACAGAAUAAGCACCGGCUAACUUCGUG
rnacentral:rRNA from 1 species